GGGGCCGUGGAGCUGGCCUCGGCCUCGGCCUCGGCAUCGGGAGAGGCUGGACUUCCUGUCUCUCUGUGCUGAAUGGCUGCGAUGGCGCCCGCUCUCACUGACGCAGCAGCUGAAGCACACCAUAUCC
rnacentral:miRNA from 1 species